UUAAGUUGCCCGUUUUCAGAGGUGAAAACUCAGGCUCAUAGAUGGAACACAGAAUCACCAUGGCUUAGGAGGGAAACACUUGUCUGGGAGCAAAGAAACCUGGAUCCUGUUCCUGGUUCUGUCCUCAGUGCCCAGGCUUUGUCCUCUCACGUUCCCUUAUCUGCAAGAGUUGCUAACCAGAUGGAUCCAUACGCCCAGCAGUUCAAACACCGGACGACCCCAGCAAGCCUGCUGUGCUCCUCCUGAGGAGGCCAGGAGGCUACUUGCAAGGGGACAUGUGUGAUGGCUCUGAGAGUCGCAAUUGUUUUCUGCUCACACGUGAACCCAACAGAUGAGAAGGGUUUACCAAGGAGAUGACGCACCGUAUGUGUUAGGAAGAGUGCUUGAGGCAGACAGAUUAGAGAUGGCUGAGGUGCCACAUCCAAGUCUGCCACAGAUGCCGAAGUCAGGAAAGUGAGGGACAGAGGAUGGCUUUGUGACAUCCUUCAGGAUGGAAUGGACAGAGCUUUGUAACCAGGGGAGUAUAGGAGAAGAAAGAGCUGGGGACAACGUGAAGUUAGUGUGUUAAUGGUGUCAUCAGUCAGGGGACCAGAUGGAAAGAUGAGGUAAGACUCUCCCAGUGCAGAAACUACACCCAUUCGUGAAGCAGGUACCUCUAGCUACAGAAUUGUUCUUCGGAGCCAGUAGAGGACCACUGAUGCUGCUGGGAUGAUUUGCUCAUGGAAGCAUGCAAAGAAGCUUGGAUGCCUUCCCCGGUGACAGCCAGGGCGAGCCUCUUUAUACUUAUGGACCCGAGUAAAGAGUAAGAAUGGAAGCCCAUGUAUCAUGCCUGA
rnacentral:lncRNA from 1 species